rnacentral:rRNA from 1 species
UGGGGAAUAUUGGACAAUGGACCAAGAGUCUGAUCCAGCAAUUCUGUGUGCACGAUGAAGUUUUUCGGAAUGUAAAGUGCUUUCAGUUGGGAAGAAGAAAGUGACGGUACCAACAGAAGAAGCGACGGCUAAAUACGUGCCAGCAGCCGCGGUAAUACGUAUGUCGCAAGCGUUAUCCGGAUUUAUUGGGCGUAAAGCGCGUCUAGGCGGCUAAAUAAGUCUGAUGUGAAAAUGCGGGGCUCAACUCCGUAUUGCGUUGGAAACUGUAUAGCUAGAGUACUGGAGAGGUAAGCGGAACUACAAGUGUAGAGGUGAAAUUCGUAGAUAUUUGUAGGAAUGCCGAUGGGGAAGCCAGCUUACUGGACAGAUACUGACGCUAAAGCGCGAAAGCGUGGGUAGCAAACAG